rnacentral:rRNA from 1 species
UAAGUUUGAUGGCGACCGGCGCACGGGUGAGUAACACGUAUCCAACCUGCCGAUGACUCGGGGAUAGCCUUUCGAAAGAAAGAUUAAUACCCGAUGGCAUAGUUCUUCCGCAUGGUAGAACUAUUAAAGAAUUUCGGUCAUCGAUGGGGAUGCGUUCCAUUAGGUUGUUGGUGGGGUAACGGCCCACCAAGCCUUCGAUGGAUAGGGGUUCUGAGAGGAAGGUCCCCCACAUUGGAACUGAGACACGGUCCAAACUCCUACGGGAGGCAGCAUG